rnacentral:rRNA from 1 species
GACGAACGCUGGCGGCGUGCCUAAUACAUGCAAGUAGAACGCACAGUUUAUACCGUAGCUUGCUACACCAUAGACUGUGAGUUGCGAACGGGUGAGUAACGCGUAGGUAACCUGCCUGGUAGCGGGGGAUAACUAUUGGAAACGAUAGCUAAUACCGCAUAAUAUUAAUUAUUGCAUGAUAAUUAAUUGAAAGGUGCAAUUGCACCACUACCAGAUGGACCUGCGUUGUAUUAGCUAGUAGGUGAGGUAACGGCUCACCUAGGCGACGAUACAUAGCCGACCUGAGGGGGUGAUCGGCCACAAUGGGACCGGGGCACGGCCCAGACCUCUACGGGAGGCAGCAGUAGGGAAUCUUCGGCAAUGGACGAAAGUCUGACCGAGCCACGCCGCGUGAGUGAAGAAGGGUCUCGGAUCGUAAAGCUCUGUUGUAAGAGAAGAACGGGUGUGAGAGUGGAAAGUUCACACUGUGACGGUAUCUAAACAGAAAGGGACGGCUAACUACGUG